AGAAAGGACAGAGAACUUGUUGAAAUCCGUGAACAGAUGGCAAAGAUGGAAGAAAGGAAAAAUACAGAAAUUCAAGGACUCAAAAACAAAGUUGAAGAGAUGAAUACUGCAAAGAAUGCAAAAAUUGAUCAGCAAUGCGCACAUGUAGCCACACAAACACCAAGGAAAAGGAACAUGGUCCAAAGAUUAUGGAGAUGUAUCAUGGGCAGAGGCCACUAGUAGUUAUUUUAUAAGAAGAAGAAUGUGUUAGGCAGCUCAGGAUCUUCAUUCUUACUAUAACUACAAAUUUAUUUAUUAAAGAGAAUACUUGUCUACAAUUCUAUUCAUAUUUUCUAUAAACAARAAAGUCACAAAAUACAACAAAAAAAGUUUACAUUUCAUGAAGUUGUUUAAAAAUAUUUAAUUAAUAUAUAUUUGUAAAUAGAUGUGCAUUGAACAGUUUAAUAAUAUUAAAAUGUUUAUAUAUUUUUGUGAGGUAUUGUUGUUGUUUACCAUAAAUUUUGUUUAACACCCUUACUUAAAAUUAUAACACAGUCAAUCUUAUAUUUUCACCAUUAUAAGCACUAAAGUAGGUAGUUGAAUCAAGUGUCAGGGAGAUAGUCCAGGGAUAGCCAUUUUAUAGCUAGGACCAAAAGUUCAGGAUGAAGAUGUGACCAGUACAUAAUAUUAGAGGUUUCUUAUGGGUGUUUAUGGGUGAAUAAGAGCACCCAGAACUAAAGGAAAUUUYAAUAAAUUAGAGUAUCCCUUUUACAGAUGUGAAUGUGUAGCUCCAGAAACUAUUUAUACCCCCCUCCCCUCCCCCUCACAAAGAAAUUUGGAAUUUCCGUGGGGUGGGAGGGGUCAGAGAAAGAACAAGAUUCCUGAGUUUCUAUGGAAGAAAAUUGGAAUUUCUAGAGGUGGGGGGAUGGGAUCUUUAAAAAUAAUUUCUCCAUAGGGGGGGGG